GACGAACGCUGGCGGCGUGCUUAACACAUGCAAGUCGAACGGAAAGGCCCUGCUUUUGUGGGGUGCUCGAGUGGCGAACGGGUGAGUAACACGUGAGUAACCUGCCCUUGACUUUGGGAUAACUUCAGGAAACUGGGGCUAAUACCGGAUAGGAGCUCCUGCUGCAUGGUGGGGGUUGGAAAGUUUCGGCGGUUGGGGAUGGACUCGCGGCUUAUCAGCUUGUUGGUUGGGUAGUGGCUUACCAAGGCUUUGACGGGUAGCCUGCCUGGGAGGGUGACCGGCCACACUGGGCCUGAGCUACGGCCCAGACUCCUACGGGAGGCAGCAGUGGGGAAUAUUGCACAAUGGGCGGAAGCCUGAUGCAGCAACGCCGCGUGCGGUAUGACGGCCUUCGGGUUGUAAACCGCUUUCGCCUGUGACGAAGCGUGAGUGACGGUAAUGGGUAAAGAAGCACCGGCUAACUACGUG
rnacentral:rRNA from 1 species